AUAGCUAGCAACGUUGAUCAUUGACCAAUGUUCUCGAUUCAACCGAUCAGUUUUUGGCCGGAGGAUGGUAGAUGGGAGUUGGUGAUGCGUACGUUGGCGCUGGGGGGUGGUACUCAGGCUCAGGCUUUGGUUUGGGCUCAGGCUUAGGCUUCGGUGGCACAGGUUUCUUGUGGAAGUGGUCAAAGAACUUGUGAUAGUCAUGGUCCUUGUGGAAGUGAUCAAGGAAGUGCUUCUUGUCAAACGAUAUUUCUUUCACAACCGGAGGGUGGUAGAUCGGAGUCGGAGACCCGUAUGUGGGUGUCGGGGGGUGGUACUCAGGCUUAGGCUGCGGCUUUGGCUUUGGUGGCACGGGCUUCUUGUGGAAGUGGUCAAAGAUGUGGUGGUAGUCAUGGUGUUUGUGGAAGUCAUCGUGCAAGGGAUUCUUGUCGAACAAGUGCCUGGCAGGAGGGUGGUAGAUUGGUGUAGGUGACCCAUAUGUUGGCGUUGGUGGGUGGUACUCAGGCUCAGGUUGAGGUUUGGGCUCUGGCUUGGGCUUGGGUGGCACAGGCUUCUUGUGGAAGUGGUAAAAAAAGUGGUGGUAGUCAUGGCCUUUAUGAAAGUGAUCAGGCUCAGGCUGCGGCUUAGGCUGCGGCUUGGGCUCCGGCUUUGGCUUUGGUGGCACGGGCUUCUUGUGGAAGUGGUCGAAGAAGUGGUGGUAGUCGUGGUCCUUAUGAAAAUGGUCGAGCAAGGGCUUCUUGUCAAACAAAUGUCUAGCUGGAGGGUGGUAGAUCGGUGUGGGUGACCCGUAUGUUGGAGUCGGAGGGUGGUAUUCUGGCUGUGGCUUGGGCUCUGGCUUCGGCUUUGGUGGAACUGGCUUCUUGUGGAAGUGGUCAAAGAAGUGGUGUGGCUUAGGUUCUGGUUCUGGUUUGGGUUCUGGCUUCGGCUUCAGCGGAGAUGGCUUCUUGUGGAAGUGGUCCAAGAAGUGGUGAUAGUCGUGGUCCUUGUGGAAGUGAUCAACCAUGUGCUUCUUGUCGAACAACUGCCUUGCUGGAGGAUGGUAGAUUGGAGUUGGGGAUCGAUAUGUUGGCGUAGGGGAGUGGUACUUCGGCUGCGGCUUAGGUUCUGGCUUUGGCUUUGGCUCUGGCUUCGGCUUCGGUGGCACAGGCUUCUUGUGGAAAUGGUCCAACAGGUGCUUCUUGAUCGGCCCGCAUAGGGUUGCCGACGCGCAUUCUGCCGACGGGUAGUCUGUCUUGCCAGGGACCACGACGAAGUUGCCAUCGGACGACUGCGGCACAAUCCUGGAAGGUUCCUGACCGGGGCACGGGGUGCCCGCGGCGCUGUGGAGCUGCGCAACGCAGUCAGCGGCGUGCAUGUCCGUGCUCAGCGGGAUGCUGAAGGCGCCGGAGACAUCUAGCUUGCCUAUGGCCUUGCUCUCGUACUCGCCUUUGCUGUUCCUGCACUUGAUCGCCACCUCAAGACCUGAAAUGCAUGGAUCGAAAAGCACCGUCAGUACCAGCAGCUAGCUUCUUCUGACCUUACUGAUCAGCUUAAAGCAUUGAGUAUCCACUGUUUAUGUUAUUAGCUUAAUUAAAUAUGCAUGUAUAUUAUUCCUAGUAUAUUUACCCUUGAAUGCCGCUUCGGCCUUCAUGUUCUUCCUGGUGCAAUCGGCGCAUUUGGCGAGGCCGAUAACCACCGAGGACGCCUCACUGGAGGCAGCGCUUGCGACGGCUAUUACCAUCAGCACGGCGAAAAUGCCGGGGAGAAGGCCCCCAUGUACCGCAGCCAUGGCUAGAUGGAUGACUCGAUGAGAUGAAGAAGAGGCAAUGCAAUGCCUGCCUUAUAUAGGCCUACGCAUUGAUCAAACACAGCUCGAUCUUACAUGCAUGCACGCAUGAUCACGAGCUGGUGAGGACUGAGGCGCCAGCACACAUAAUUUUGGCGCCGAAAUUGCAGACCGGCCGGGAAUUAAUGCCGUCCAUUUGAGUUGAUCAAUCUCUGUCUGUCCAUUCAUCAUGUCCAGUCGGUUGGUAGUAGUUGGAGUUGUGUAAGUUACGUCAGUUGCGGCACUUUGGAUUUGCAUGCAUGCAGCGCCAGUACAUGCCCUGUGUAAUGCAGGUUUCCAUUGGUCACAUCGGAAAAGCAAAGCUUGUAAAAGCGCGUGUCCGGUGUGCUCAUCUGCUGGACAAUAAAUUUCAGAACAGUAUAGUAUAGUUUGGUUUGUUUCAGAAAAGGGACAGUACUUUCGGAAUGUGGAUACAAAAUAAGUUCUUUCUGACCGCGUGUAGUUGGAUACAACAUAUAGUAGCACAAAAAAGCUCUAUGAUGACGGUAGUGUCUAAUUUAUAGACGCGGCGAGCCCAAUUCAAGAACCGCCACUGUAAACCCAUUUACACUGACAGUUCACUUAAGGAAACUGUCAGUGUCAAUAGUGCAUUUCCACUAGCGGUUUCCUUAAGUGCUGUGCAAAUAGAUUUACACCAGUGGUACCUUAUGUCAGCCGCCAGUGAAGUUUUUGGUAUAAAUACUCAUUCUUCCUCCACGAGUAGAACUGUUUCUCACAACCACCUUCUAUUAGAGGCCAUUUUGGAGGUCUAGAUUUUUAGGAGGUUGCUAAGAAAUGUUAGUUUAUAUCUCUCUUGCCUCUUUUUGUUCAUUCUUGCUCAAUUUGAACCACUUUAUGGAUCUAGGAUUUCACCAUAUGUUAGAGAGAAGAAUAGCUAGGUUAUUAUCUUUAUUUGCUCAAAUGAUCUUAAGAUUGUUAGAUGAUGUCUCUCCUCUAUCCCUUUUUAUUUUUGCUUCUCACUUUAGUUUAUCCAAGAUAUAUUUAGUUAUUUUCAUGAAUUGUGUGUUCUUGUCUAUUUAUGUAGAUAGAGAAAUAUAGGUUCUUUUGUUAGUUUUAUAAAUUGUGUAGUUUUUUGUCUUCAUUUCUCAAUUUGAUUUAAUUAUCCACUAUGUAUUUAUGUUUCAUGAAUGGUGUGUUUGUAUGUAGAGGGGAAGAUAGGUUUCUUAAUUAAUUAAGAUUAUUGUGUUUAUUAAUUAGAAAAUAUGAAAGAGGUUUCUUUGUUUACCACUAUGUUGUUGACUGAGGUUACUUAGUACGGUUAAUUUUAUUCUUCUAACUUUUAGCGAACCUUGCUUCAAGGUCUAUAAAUUGGAAAAUAUACAAGUGGGAGGUUUUCAUCUUCAUUUCUUCGAAAGAGGUUGGUGAUCAAAAGAUUAGAUAAUAAAUAUCUCUAGACAAUCAUACUUGUUUUGCAUUGAUUAUAAUUAAUUCAUUAUAUUUUUUAUAUGUAAUGAUGGAGAGGUCAUUUUGGAUGUAUAAUUUAUCAAGACUAAAUCCAUCAUAUAUACCCGAGGUCCCUAGGUUUUUUGAUGCUGACUAAGAACCAUGCUUGGAGAACAAAGAUGAAGCACAUCUAUUGUCCAUGCAUAGACUGUACAAAUGUUAUUGUAUUUGAUGACACUAAAUCAAUCAUUUAUUAUUUGGUCUAACAAGAAUUUAUGAUGGAUUACUUGUUUUGGACAAAGGGUAGCUUGCGCCUUAUACAAAUAGAAACCUUACGAACAUCGACGUUGAUGCUGAUGGAUUUCCGUUCCUACAUGAGAUACAACAACCUCUUUCCUAGAGUGAACAUGUUGUGCCAAAUGUUACGGUUAUGGAAGAUGUAGAAUUCUUAGGGUAAAGUUGCAUCAUCAUAUGGAUCCAUGAAUAUUAUUAAUGAAAGGUAUGGAAGCCCUGAUAAAGGCUGCAGAAGAGACUUUGCACGACGAGUCUAAGGGUUAUACCAAAGAGUUCAUGACACUGCGGUCUAUGCUAAAGUUGUCGAUGUUAAAAGCUAGAUAUGGUAUGUCUGAUGCUGGCUUGGAUGCAUUCUUGUGUAUUAUUGCAGACAUGCUUCCAAAGGGAAACAAUGUGUGUGCUAAGACGUACUAUGUAAAGAAACUAAUCAGUCCGCUCACUAUGGGUAUGGAGAAGAUCCACGCGUGUCAUGAUGACGAUGAUUAUAAGGACUUAGAGAGUUGUCCAAAGUGUGGUGCAACUACGUACAAGACAAAUAAAGACUAUCGAGAGAAAGAGUGUGUUGCCUCCAUUUCUAAAGGAAAGAAGCGAAAGGAGACCAAAUAGAACAAACAAUAAAGUUCAAAAUCUAGAAAAAUAUUCCUACUUUGAUGAUGUGGUGUAACACCCUAGUGUUAAGUAUGCAUUAAGGCUUCAUCAAACUUAUAUGAGCAUUGGCACAAGCAUGAGCAUCUCAUGUGUUGUGCUAUAUUUUAUGCAUAUCUUUUAAAUGUGAAUUAAUUUUGAUAAUUGUCAUGCUAUGUCUAAAAAUGCUUGUUAUGCCUAGAUUAAAUUGUUUUAUGCCUAAACUUAAAUUAGAAAAUUUAAGUACCAUUUUUGGAGCCCUAGAAUUAAAGGAGUUGAUUUAAAUUAAAAUUUCGCAAAAUAGAUUUAUUUCAAACCUAGAACUAACUUUAAAUUGAAAUUCAAAAUCCAUUUGGAUUCUUGAUUUGCACCAUAAAGCAAAGUUAUAGAGAAUUUUAUUUUGAGCAACUUUUAUUUUUGGGUCAACUCCUGAAAAUGCAUUUAAAACAGUGUUUAAAAAUUAAUUGAGAAAAUAAAUUCAAAAAAAAGAGAAGGGAGGAGCGCCCUACUGGGCCACGCACCUUGCUUCUGGCCCAGCAGCCAAAGCCGGCCUGGCUCGUGAGCACAUCCCCUUCCUCCUCAGGCGCGCACUGUGGCCAGGUGACGUCGUGGCCGACCGUGCGUAGGCCAGCCGCGCCACGUGGAUGGCAAGCAACGGCAGCGGCUACGACAGUGCCUGCUUGCCCGAGCAGAAGGGGACGACAGCGGCUCUGCGUUGUCCACCUUCUCCACUCCACCCCGACCACACCUCUCUUGCUCUCGUCUCACAAAGCAGAGCUUGA
rnacentral:lncRNA from 1 species